UACGAAGGGGGCUAGCGUUGCUCGGAAUCACUGGGCGUAAAGCGCACGUAGGCGGAUUGCUAAGUCAGGGGUGAAAUCCUGGAGCUCAACUCCAGAACUGCCUUCGAUACUGGCGAUCUUGAGUCCGGGAGAGGUGAGUGGAAUUCCUAGUGUAGAGGUGAAAUUCGUAGAUAUUAGGAAGAACACCAGUGGCGAAGGCGGCUCACUGGCCCGGUACUGACGCUGAGGCG
rnacentral:rRNA from 1 species